CUCUUUCCUUUUUGGGGUUCUGAAGAUUGAGUAGGUAUCUGUGCCUUUCUUCCUGUUAAAGCCCAAGCACAGAGGGUCCCAUGGGAACUCCCCCCAACGCCCUCACAGACUGGCUGCGGUGCAGAGAGCUGGGGGCAUCUGGGUCAGAGAAGCUACCCAGGUUCCCAGAGACCCUGAGUGAGUGAAACGACAUUUGGACAGAUUUCUGGGACAAUUGGGCAGCUCCAGAGAACACUCUUGAAGUUGGGUAAGCAUUGAACCAGGAUCUUCAGUGAAAGGAUUCUGGGUCACUCAGCUGAAUUUUCCUGUGCAGAACUGGUGUUAUCACGAAGUGAAUGAAACCUAAAACUCCAGAGCCCAUCACUUAGAUGAACUCUUUGCAAGGCUGUGAAAGCUAACAGAAUGGCAUAGAUACAGAUGCGGGCUGUGCUCCAGGGAAACAGAAAGCAGAGAUUGUCCAUCUUUGCCAGGGAGAUUGAUGACUUACGAUAUCACUGUGGGACACAUGGGAAAAGCUGC